AAAAUCCAUCUGAUUUAGUUUUAAAGAAAAUUAAUUAAACAAAAACUAAAAAGAAAACUAAUAAAAAAAAUUUAAAAACUUUGAGUUUUAACUAUAAGAACAAAAUAAAAGAUAAAAUGAAUAGUUUCGUUAAAGUAAACAGUAUCGGGAGCUUUUCAUUAAAGUUCCCAAAACUAAACCCAAAAAUUUAAGGAAACUUUAACAAAAAGUUUCUGGUAUUGUUCACUUUAACGAAAAAUCAUAUUUUUACAUUAAAAAAAUCAAUCAUAUUACUAUUCAUUUUACAUUUUAUUUUAUCUUUAUCGUUAAAAUUUAAAGUUUUCAAACUCUUUUAAUUAGUUUUUCUAAAAUUUAAACAUCUCGACUGCGGAGCCAACGUCACCAGUGACAAUUGACUGCUGGAAUACCCCUUCAAUGAAAUCACGACAUCUAAAAACUAAAACUGAAAGAUUCAAAUACAAAAUAUGCAGGCCAUACAACCCCUCUCCGGCGAGACACGCCAACCCCAAUCUCGUCCAAAUCUGGUACCACUCCACCUCCCUCUCUUCCUCUUCCUCAUAGACGAACAACAACAGGCAGAGAGUGGCAGAUGAAGUUUCUCCAAUCGAUAACCGCCGACGCUAUAUGCCCCCGCUGGAACCCAUGUGGACCAUCUUCCUCGUCGUCAUCUUCAUCGGCUUGAUGUUCGAGUUUUUCUUUGACGAGAAAAAUUUGCUCCUUGCUUGGUUUUUUGUGAUGGGUAUGAAACUGCGAGGCGGACGAGCACAGGAGCCGACUCACUGAGUUAAUGGUGGCGCGAGUUAGUGAUUAUAGUGGGGGUUGAGAGAAUCGAUGACUCAAUUUUUUCCAAGAAUAUGUGGCCAAAAUUGCGUUCUUCUUUUCCCGUCUUUGAGAAAGAAGGAUGAAAUAGAAAUUGCGAGGAGGACGGAUCGGACGCCGGGUGGGGGGAGCUGUGGGUUGUUGGCGCGACUGUCGAAUUAUUUUGUUUUAGUUUUUAUUUUAAUUGAUUUUCCAUAAAAAAAAUAAAUCAGAUGGAUUCUUUAGUAGGGCACGUGGCAUCCUCCGAUUAGAUGGGUACAUCAACUGUCCAUGGUGACGUGGUUUCCCGUCACCUCGAAAAUUCAGGAGAAGGGGGAGGGGGAGCGGGGAUGGGGUGGGAUCCAGCUCAUUUCUGGAAUCAAGCUUCGGUGUUACCUGGAAUCGGAUUCUCUAAGGCCAUCUCUAACUGAGGGCUGGCCAGAGGGCUCGUUUUAGCCCUCUAGCCCUCCAAGAUUCUCCAAGAUAUUAAUAUUUUAAUGAACAGUACAGUGUCAUAUUUGCCUCUAUCUCCAACCGAGGGCCAGAGGGCCAGAGGGCUCGUUUUAGCCCUAUCACAAAAAACCGUCUCCAAUCGAGGGCCAAAGGGCCAUAGGGCCAAACAUAAUUUAUUAUUUAAAAACUACAACUAAAAUGUUGUUUAAGUUUCAUGUUGUAUAAUUUUAAUGUUGGUUAAUUUUAUUUAAUGUUGUUUCAUAUUGUUUAAUGUUGUUGCAUGUUACUUAAUUUAAUUUAAUGUUGUAUAAUGGCUUAGGAAGUUAUAGGAAAAAAAAUAGAAUUUAAAAAAAAAUAUGAAACAAAUUUUGUGAAAUAGAAGUUAUAGGAAAAAAAUGGAAUUUAAAAAAAAUAUAAUAAAUUUUGUGAAAUAGAAGUUAUAGGAAAAAAAAAUAUGAAACAAAUUUUGUGAAAUAGAAGUUAUAGGAAAAAAAAGGAAUUUAAAAAAAAUAUGAAACAAAUUUUGUGAAAUAGAAGUUAUAGGAAAAAAAUGGAAUUUAAAAAAAAUAUGAAACAAAUUUUGUGAAAUAGAAGUUAUAGGAAAAAAUAUAAGUUAUAUGAAAAAUUUUGUAAAUAAAAAAUAAUAAUAAUAAUGUAAAAAAAAAAAAUUAAAUCAAAUGGAACGGCUAGUAGCCGUUUCAUUUGAAUUUUUUUUUAAACAAUCAUGUCGAUUAUAACCGACAGGAAUACACCAUUAUUUAGUAUAUUAAAUAAUAGUAUGUAUUCCUGUCGGUUAUAACCGACAGGAAUAACAAAACUAUAAAAAAAAAAUAGCCAGCCAGCCCUCCAGCCCUCUCUGAUCCCGUGGGGCCCUCCCAGAUUCCAGAGCCCUCUAGCCUAGCCCUCGGUUGGAGAUGGUUUUAGGGCUAUUUUCGGCCCUCUGGCCCUCUGGACCCUUCGGUUAGAGAUGACCUAAUAAUACUUGGUAUUUGGAUUCCUUGAAGGGGAGUCCUCCAGGAAUCAAAGUUUUGUUUCAAAAUUACCCUAAUUUAUUUUCUUAAUUUCAAAACAACCUUACAAACUUCAUCACCAAAUCCCACAGAGGUACCCAUAUCACUCUCUUCUCCAGUCUCACCAAUUUUCCUAGGUGGAGCGUUGGCUCCGGCCACACCCGAACCACAGUUCUCCUCGUUGCUUGCAGAAUUUAAGAACGAGAGACAUAUGAAGAUGCAUGUGAAUCUGCGAAUUCAAGAGGUGGUGGGAUGGUUGUGGGGGCUAGGGAAGAAGAGGAUAUAGAUGCUGGGAAUAUGGGAGGACCUGUGAAUAUGGGACGUCGUGGGAAGGUUGUGGGGGUUGGGGAAAGAUAGGAUUGAAGAAAGGGAGGAGAUGACGAUGCUGGGACAUCGGGAGGAAGGGGAUGAGGUGCUGGUUUUUUUAUUUUUAUUUACAUAAAUAUUACCUUAAGAAGAGCUUCUUCAAUUAUUUUAUGAAUUAAUAUGAUAUGAUAUAUAAAUCAAUUCCAAUAACUUUAUAUGAAAAAUAAUUAUUUAGAAUGAGGGGUAGUUUGGUAAUGAUACUAUUUUUAAUUCCGAUUUAACUGAAUAAGUAAACAAGUUUUAUGGAAUUGACACCAAUUUUAUUCCGAUUCCAGAUACUUUAAUAAACAACUUUAAUAAAAAUCUAGUUUUGAUUUCAGCUUAAUCAAAUUCUCCCUCAAUUCAAUUUCCUUCAAUCUGAUUACGGAUUAGUAAACGCGCCUUUUGUGUAAUAACUAUCACAUAUAUUAAAGUCAACUGGUAGGGCUUCUGAUCUUCAUCUCAUAUCCCUUGACUGUAAAACUAAAACCUAAUUUGAAAACGAAAACGAAAAUACUCAGUUCCUUUAUAUGUAAGAAGUCACACCUCUUCAUGGACAAAUUACAGUUUGAUAUGCAAGUAUAAAUUUCUAUUUUUGUGGUUUUAAUAAGUUAUUUUUAUCAAAUAUUAUCAUUAGGGGCUUAAAAUACUAUUAACUUACGUGUCAGACAGCAAUAUGCAUAUAUCGAGAAAAAGCAACGGAAGUAAGCAAGUGUACAGGGACGAAGCUAGAAAUUGAACUAAGAGGGGGCACCUUGAAAUUUUUGAGCUUCUUUUUUGGACAAAUAAAGCUAGUUCUUUUACAAAUGUUGAACAAAAUUGUUUACAAAAAGCCUAAUUUAUUACUCUAUUGUCUAAUGCUCAUUUGUACUAAUUAACCAAAUACAUGCAACUCAACAAGAUUUAGACAUUAAUGCGUGAGAAAAAUAUACAAGACGGAUGGGCAUUUAAAACUAAAAGAGGAUUUUCAAUAUUUUAAUAUGAUUAAUUGAAUAAUCUGCAAAACUAAAAAAAUAGGAAUGAUUAAUUGAAUAAUUUGUAAUGAAAAAAAAAAGGGGAUGAGAGGGAGCAUGUUCCCCCACUGGGCGUUAGGUCAUCUCCAACCGAAGGGUUCAGAGGGCCAGAGGGCCAGAAGGUCGAAAAUAGCCCUAAAACCGUCUCCAACCGAGGGCUAGGCCAGAGGGCUAGGGAAUCUGGGAGGGGCUCACGGAAUCGGAGAGGGCUGGAGGACUGGCUAUUUUUUUUUUAUAUAGUUUUCCUAUUUCUGUCAGUUAUAAACGACAGUAAUAGGUAUUCAUAGGCAAUUUUUUUUUAUUUACUAUUAGUGUCGGUUAUAACCGAUACUAAUAGUUUGAAUUUUUUUUUAAUAUAACAGCUAGCUAAUAAGCUAGCCGUUGGUUUUUUUUUUUUUAAAUUUAAACAUUUCUUUUCUUCUAUAAAUAUGGUGAAGUUCUUUCAAUUCUUCACUUCAUUUGCAAUAUUUCCCUCUUCAAUAUUUCCUUCAAUAUAUUUCUCAAUAUUUCCUUCAAUAUUACCUUCAAUAUAUUUUCCAAUAUUUCCUUCAUCUAUAAUAUUUGUUUCAAUUUUUCAAUAUUUUCCUUCAAUAUUUUUUCAAUAAUUUCCUUCAUUUUUUCCUAUAACUUAUAUUUCACAAAAUUUAUUUCAUAUUUUUUUUUAAAUUCCAUUUUUUUUCUAUAACUUCUAUUUCACAAAAUUUGUUUCAUAUUUUUUUUAAAUUCUAUUUUUUUUUCUAUUACUUCCUAAGCCAUUAUACAACAUUAAAUUAAAUUAAGUAACAUGAAACAACAUUAAACAAUAUGAAACAACAUUUAAGUUGUAGUUUUUAAAUAAUAAAUUAUGUUUGGCCCUAUGGCCCUUUGGCCCUCGGUUGGAGACGGUUUUUUUGUGAAAGGGCUAAAACAAGUCAUCUGGCCCUCUGGCCCUCGGUUGGAGACAGGCAAAUAUGAUCAUGUAUUGUUCAUUAAAAUAUUAAUAUAUUGGAGAAUCUUGAAAGGUCAGAGGACUAAAACGAGCCAUUUGGCCAACCAUCGGUUGGAGAUAGGCACAACCCCACAAGAAUUGGUGAGUUUUUGACACUUUCUCCAUUGACCAUAAAUUUUCCAAGUCCCCCACUAAAACUCUAAACCAUUUGUGACCCUGCAAUGAUUCUGGAAAAUCCCACAAUUUCUAACGUCUAUUUAGAUUCAAUUUCAUAUCUCAUAAAAAGGAUCACAUCCUCUGAGCUCUAGCUAACUUGUCCUCAACACAACCGCGGGAACCAACGAACUUUUGAAAUCCCACUCCCUCCAAAUGGCUAAACACACCCGAACAUCUCCUCUCCAAACCCACCUCCACCUCCUCCUCCUUCUCCUCCUCCUCCUCCCCCUCCUCCGCCAUGCCAACUCCCAAUCCCUCCAAGAACAAGAACAAGCAGUCCUUCUGAAACUCAAGUCCUACUUACAGUCUCCACCAUUUCUCAGCCACUGGAUCCCAUCAAACUCAAACUCUUCUUCCUACUACUGCUCCUGGCCCGAAAUUUCCUGCACAAACAACUCCGUCACUGGAUUGUCUCUCGUCAACUUGAACAUAACCCUGCCAGUUCCACCCUUCAUCUGUGAUCUCACAAACCUCACACUCAUCGAUCUCAACUACAACUACCUCCCCGGAGAGUUCCCAAAAUCUCUCUACAAGUGUCCCAAGCUAGAAUACUUAGACCUUUCACAAAACUACUUUGUAGGCCCAAUUCCUGAUGACAUCGACAGCCUGCCUCGGCUUAAGCAGCUUAUCCUUGCCGGAAACAAUUUCUCCGACAUUCCUCCCGCGAUAGGGCAGUUGCAAGAGCUCGAGAAUCUUCAGCUGUGGAUGAACCAGUUCAAUGGCUCUGUCCCACCAGAAAUAGGUAACUUGUCCAAUCUCAAAGACCUAAACAUGUCUUUCAACAUAAAACUUGUGCCUUGGACCUUGCCUUCCAAUUUCACCAAGUUGAAAAAGCUCAAGAAUUUAUGGAUACGCCAAUCGAACUUGAUUGGAGAGCUUCCUGAGACACUUGGGGAGAUGGAAGCAUUGGAAGUAAUUGAUUUGGCAAUAAACAGUUUGAGUGGGAGGAUCCCGAACGGUUUGUUUACGGUGAAGAAUUUGAGUAUCGUCUAUCUCUACAAGAACAUGCUUUCCGGGGAGGUUCCUCAAGUGAUUGAGUCAUGGAACUUGAGCAUUCUUGAUAUCUCUGAGAACACUUUAAUGGGGACAAUACCAGAAGAGUACGGCAAUCUUACCAAAUUAACAGAGUUGGCUUUGUUUCUCAAUGAUUUUUCGGGUGAAAUUCCGAAGAGCAUUGGCCGCCUGCCAAACCUCAAAAAAUUCAGAAUGUUCAACAACAAUUUUUCAGGAACAUUGGCUCCAGAGUUUGGGAAGUACUCGAAGCUCGAAGCUUUUGAAGUUUGCGUCAAUAGGCUAACGGGAAAACUGCCAGACGAUUUGUGCUAUUGGGGUAAGCUAGAAGAAGUUAUAGCUUAUGGGAAUCAUCUGAGUGGAGAAUUGCCAAGCUCUCUUGGAAAUUGCAGCAGUUUGAAGAAUGUCAAGGUUCAAGAUAAUAUGUUGUCUGGAAACAUUCCUAACGGUAUGUGGACGGCACCAAACUUGACUAUUGUGCUGGUGAGCAACAACUCGCUUACUGGCAAGCUUCCUGAGAAGAUGUCAUCAGAUCUUUCACGCUUGGAAAUGCGAGACAACAGAUUUUCGGGCAACAUUCCAACCGGGGUGUCUUCCUGGACAAGUUUGAAGGUUUUUGACGCCGGUAAUAACCUCUUUAGCGGUGCUGUUCCUCGGGAAUUAACCGUGCUUUCUAGCUUAAUGACUCUUUCUCUUGAUCAGAAUCAGCUCACCGGCUCCCUUCCAUCGGAUAUUGUGUCGUGGGAGUCACUCGCUAGUCUUAAUUUCAGUCGAAAUCAGCUGUCUGGAACAAUUCCUGAGAAGCUUGGUCUUCUGCCGGGACUUACUGGAUUAGACCUUUCAGCAAAUCAACUUUCUGGCGAAAUUCCAGAUCAACUCGGGCGUCUGAAGCUCAACCAAUUCAAUCUCUCUUCCAAUCACCUCACCGGGGAGAUCCCUAUCGAAUUUGAAAACUCUGCGUAUGAAGGAAGCUUCUUGGACAAUCGAGGCCUCUGCGCACCAAGCUCAGCGGCAAUAAAGCUCCCCAUAUGCAAUUCUGAAUCCCGAAAGUCCAGUAAACUUUCGUCGAAAUCUCUUGCACUGAUUUUAUCCUUAGGCAUACUGUUGUGCUUGUUGGCUUUUUCCAUCGCGGUCAUCGUGGUCAGAAGUUACUGGAAGAGAAAUGGUGAUUCUAACUGGAAGCUCAACUCAUUUCAGAAGUUGAAUUUCACAGUGCCGAAAAUCCUAUCGGGGUUGACUGAACGUAAUCUGAUUGGAUGUGGUGGAUCAGGAAAAGUUUAUCGCGUUCCUGUGAAUCGCAAUGGUGAUGUUGUUGCUGUGAAGAAGAUUUGGAAGAAUAAGAAUUUAGAAGAGAAGCUUGAGAAAGAGUUUCUUGCAGAAGUCAAGAUCUUAAGCUCAAUUCGACACGCCAACAUAGUGAAGCUGAUGUGCUGCAUUUCCAGUAACACUUCAAAACUUCUCGUCUACGAGUACUUAGAUAAUCGGAGCCUGGAUCGAUGGCUGCACAGGAGAAACGGGCCAUCCAAUCUCUCGGGGCCAGUCCAACAUGUCGCGCUCGACUGGCCUAAGAGGUUGCGGAUUGCAGUGGGGGCAGCUCAGGGCCUCAGCUAUAUGCACCACGACUGCGUGCCGCCGGUGGUGCAUCGUGACGUGAAAUCAAGCAACAUUUUGUUGGACUCUGAUUUCAAUGCAAAAAUAGCAGACUUUGGUCUGGCUAAGAUGUUGGUCAAGCAAGGAGAACUUGCUACAAUGUCAUCUGUUGCUGGCUCAUUUGGCUACAUGGCUCCAGGUAAACCUUAUACCCCAUAGAUGCUGAAGUUCGGGCAUGUCUGAGACCGCUUCUUUAUAAAGCACUUCUUAUAAGUACUUUUGCAAGAAGUGGUUUUCUCUUCUGCUCAUAAAUUUCGCUAAAGCAAUUGACAAAAAACCAAAAUGCUUCUAUGACCCAUAAGCACUUUAAGUUUUUUUGCCAACAGCAGUUAGAAGUGCUUUGAGUUGUUAGAAAAGCACAUUUAGCCCUUCUAAAAGCAAUCUCAAGCAAGCCCUUAGUGCCUAAAGAAGCAUGUGUAUUUUCUUUCAUUUCACAUUAGCAAUCUGUAAACUGGUUUUUCUUACCCUAAAUGCAGAAUACGCCCACACAACGCGAGUGAAUGAAAAGAUCGAUGUGUAUAGUUUUGGGGUCAUCCUUCUGGAGUUGACAACCGGCAGGGAAGCCAACGACGGCGAUGAACACACUGCCCUCGCUGAAUGGGCGUGGCGCCAUGUUCAAGAAGAAAACGCUAUCGCCGAUGCUUUGGACCAGGACGUCAAAGAACCUUGUUACUUGGACGAAAUGUGCUCGGUUUUCAAACUUGGCCUCAGUUGCACAGAGACACUUCCAGCUAGUAGGCCUUCCAUGAAGGUCGUUCUGCAAAUCUUGCUCCGAUGCAGCCGUCCAGUUAUCAACGGUGAAAAGACCGAGUACUUUGCCGCUCCUCUGCUCAAGAACUCGAAGCGCGAGAGGAUUUUGGAAGACUGGAAUGGUAGUUUGGCAACAAAUGUCUGAUGCCUUCAUUCUUCAAUCCAAAUCAACUCGAAAUUCAUCGGGUACUUUUUCUCCCGAGUUGUUCCUCUCGGUCCAAUCCCACCCAUCGGAUCGCACACUCGAUUUCAAGUACUCUCGGAGCUUCUCCGCCCUCCUGUAUUCCACGAAUCGAACGACUUAGUUUUGGCGGUUGAUCUGGGGACACGACAAAUUUGGGGGAAGAUUUAAGAAUUUUGGGGUUUGAAGCGGGGGAAUGGAGUUGGAAAUGGAAACGGCGAUGACGGCGAAGAGAAAAGAGAGUGGUUGCAGAUUAGGGGGGGGGGGCUGGGGUCGUGGUGUGAGGGGUAGGAGAUGCUAGAAAAGAAAAAAAAAAUUGACACGUGGCGUCCAAGUUCACAUAAGCUCUACAUCAUCAGUUAAUGGAGAUUUAACAGUCAGACUAUUGGAUGUAUGAGAUUGUCCCAAAAUUAACACUUUAGGUAUGACUCUGGGACCAAAAAAACUUGAUGUACUAAAUGUUGAAAACCACGAAACUUGAUAAUAGUAAAUUGACAUUUACCUAAAAUAAUAAUAUAGAAGAGUGAGAUGUUUGAGAAAAGAGUAAUGCUAGUAAGACUAAAUUUGUAGACUAAAUUUUGUAAAAUAAAUAACAUGAAAGUUGAUGACUAGAUUAUUACUUAAACGUUGAUAAACUUGCUCAUUUUCUAUUGGUGAUACAUCAUUACUUUGGAGAGAAAAAGAAAGAGAGAUGGAGAAAAUGUGUGGUUUUUAUUUUAUUUUAUUUUAUUUUUAAUAGAGGCGUGCUUCGAAGAAAUGUGGGUAAUCGGAAUAUAGAUUUUCAAAAUCUGAAUAGACAAUGUAUUGUCCCACCCGACAUUGUCAAUAUUAGGGGUAAUCGGAAUAUAGAUUUUCAAAAUCUGAAUAGACAAUGUAUUUUCCCACCCGACAUUGUCAAUAUUAGAUUCUUUAACGGAGGAUAUUCCAUUUUUGAAAAAAUAGGGUUAGUUGUGGUCUCAUCUUAUAUUGAACUUCAAUGAUCUAAAUGUUUAUUUUUCAUAUUGCAUCUCAUAGAUAAUUCUUGUAAAAUAUUUGCCAAAUUAGAAGUAUAUAAUAGGGGUUGGCAUGGGCCGGGCCGGACCCAAAUUUGAAGGGAUUGGACCGGACCUAGGUGCAAAGGAGACAGGCCGGGCCGAGUCAGGGAUUACAUUUUCUUAUAUAGGAAUCAAACCUUACUCGGCCCGGUUGAAACAGGCCGGGUCCACAGGUCCUUGGUUUUUUUUUUUUUUUUAAAAAAAAAAAACUGGUAUUUGCACAUAUUGCACAGAUUCACCAGUGCAGCAGAUUAUGCAAUAGGAAACCCAAAUAAUGCAAGAGGAAAGAUUUCGAAAAUUUUCCAAUUCCAAAUGCACCAACUUCUUUAUAAAAUCUUGAGCAUAAACAUCUCUGAACAAAGCAGAUUAAGACUCAAUAGAUCAAUACUCACAACAGAAACCCAAAUAAUAUAAUCCACAAAAAAUUGAAGCGCAUAGCGAAAUUAACAAAGUUUAAAUAUUUAGCAGGUCAUUAAGUAUAUAAGUAUCAAAAGAAAUACAUGAUAAAUACGAACAUAUCUCGAUAUGAAAAACCCUAAUAUGAAGUUAAGAGUGACCUAACAUACAUGGAGAGAUCAGUACUCUUUAGCCUUAGCAACUUCACUGGCGGUAACAGCGGUAGAUUCCACCGUAGAGCUCGCAAUCUCAGACUCCGUGGUGCCGUUUUGAGCAACAGAAGCAACGGCGUUCCUGGACUUGACAAUGUUGAGCAUGCGUUUGCUGAUCUCCUUGGAGUAAACCUGCAGGAUCUGAAUCUCGUCCUCCUCGAUGAGGGUAGGGGACGACGCACUCGAGACGGCUGGGUUCUGUAAGUCUGGGUCCCUGGGAUGUUAAAUCGAGACAGUGAGAGAGAGGUGAAAGAGAGGUGACAAAUCGAGAAGAUAGUGGUCACAUGGGUCGUAGUACUAUCGGGGUGGUGGAGGGAAAAGGACGACGCACUGAAGAUGGCGAGAGAGACUCGAUCGACAGAGUGAGAGUGAUAGUUGAAUUCGAUAGCUUUGAGGAUGAGCAAACCUAAAACCAACAAUUCAGAUUAAAUGGAGAGAUGAUCUCUUCAAUCUCAUCCGUACAUUCUAACUACAAAGAGCGGGUCCAGGUACCCGUGGUUCCUAUACUUUAGGAACCAGCCCAAAUCGAAAAUUUCAAAGGCCUACCCCGUUUCUGUUUUUACAAAAUAAGAACCGGCCCAUACCCUCCCCGAACCUUAAUUACCCGCCCCGACUCGCAGUUCCUAUACCCGUUUGCCCACCCCUAGUAUAUAAGGCAUCUAGUUGAAUUCAAAGUGAAGAACACUAUAUCACUACUACAAAAUUAUCUAUAACUGGCGGUUCAAAAAUCGACAAAAAACGUAUAUUACUAUCGGAUUUUAAGCAAAAUUUGACAGAAAAUGUAUGCAGUGGCGGAUAUAAUAAACGACAGAAUUGCCUGCGUCAUGAAAUAAAUUUUCCGACAGAAAAUACUCUAAAACCGACAGAAAUCCUGUCGGAUAUAGCCUACAAGAUAUAUAUUUAUAAUAAAUAAAUAAGAGAAUUUAUGUCGGAUAAAACCGACAGAAAAUCCAAAAUCACCAGGAAUUAUGUCGACUAUAACCGAUAGAGAAUUUAUCAUUAAGAAUAAAUAAAAGCAUUCUUGUCGGAUGAAACCGACAGAAAAUAUAUUAAUAAUUAAAAAAAAUAUAAACAACCACUUUCUGCGCAAUAAUCUCUUCUUUCGAACUAAAGAGGAGUAACCAAAACACACAUACAAAUCACACCUCUAGUGUAUUCAUUCUACACAAUGAUCAAGAGUUGUAAUGAACGAAAUAAUUCUACCGAUAUCUUCAAGAAAAGGUCCACUGAGCUUGUUGCUCGAAAGAUCUAAUCCUGUUAAGCUUAUGCAAUUUGCUACACUCCGAGGAAACGGGCCUUUGAGUCCCAAAUCCGAAAGCUUGAUAUUUAAAACUUUGCUUUCGUGAGGGUGCCAACACUCGAUUCCCAGAAAGUUAUAGAUGAAACCUUCGGUCUUAUUGCUGAAAUCCCAUGAUGAGUUUAAGUAGCCUAAAGGAUCCUGAAGUGAUGGUUUUAGACUUUUCAAGCAUUUUAUAUCACUCUCAAUAGCAAAGUUGAAACUACAACUAAGCAAUAACCAGACCACACCGCCAAAGAAAAUACCAGGAUCUCGUCCAUUCAACAACAUAUACAUCGAAAAAGCCAUAAAAAUUGCCUAAAUUCGCUAUUUAUUGUUACCGAAGCUCAAUAUACUGAAUCCACACCACAACAUUAGGAACACCAAGCCCUGAAACAAAUCCAAAAGCAACAUGAAAUGAACCCAAAUCAGACCAACAAACACUCAAGUUUUACAAAAUUUCGCAUAACUAACACCAAAUUUGGAAAUAAAUUAUGAAAACAGUACAGGAAACAAAACCCAAUUCAUUAUCUCUCUACCAAAAGGUGCAAAUACAUGUGUAAAAAGCAACAAUUUAAUUGAUGAAACAUGCAAAUUCAAAAUUCACAAAAUACAAACCAGAACAAACACACAGAAAGUCAAAGGCCUUACUUGAUCCAAUUGAGUUUGACCCAAGUCUCCAGAAACACAAAUGCAUACACACAUAUAUACAUACAAAAAUCCAGCUAAAAGUUUAAAGCUCGGAUCAUUGAAGCGAAACGAAGACUUUGAGUGGGUUCCCAAGAAGACAGUCACCACCUAGCUUAGAACUUAAACGACAUUCGCCGGAAUUCGUGGCUGUGAUGACAUGCAUGCACAUAUUCAAAACAGAGAUUAAACCCUAUAGAUUUUCGCCAUAAUACUCAUCACAGAUGGAUUAGAACCCACACAACCAAGAGGGGAAAAUAAUUCAUACGUGAGAUGGAGUUCAAGAGAUCUGAAGCUCUCAGCAUUAAUGGCAGAGCACACGAUGAUGCAUCGAUGAUACAUGCAAUGCUGCAGGUGUUGGGUUUUUUCCAGCCCAUGAUUAGUUGUCCUAAGUCUAUUGGGAAUUAAUAGUCUUAGAGGAUUAAAUUGUUUUCCCAAUUGGAGUUGUUUUCCCAAUUGGAGUUAGUUUCUCAAUUGGAGUAGGAUUCAUAACUAGAUUCCAAUUAGGAUUAAUAAUCCUUAUUGAAGAAGACCUUUAUUAUGUCUAUAUAAAGGGGCUAUUGUACUAGUUUUAAGGAGGGAGCAAAACAAUAAAUUGUAUACCACUCAAGGGAUUAGAGUGAGAGAAUAUUGUAAAGUGUGUGCGAGAGAAAAGAAAAGAGAUAGUGUAUUUCUUGUUCUUGUUAUUUCAGGUUUUUCGUCAAAUCUUAGUUCUAGAGAUUUGGCAAGAUUAUUGGUUGUACUCAUUAUUGAUAUAGUGAAAGAUUGUUGUUGCUGUCCCGUGGACGUAAGCACAUAUUGUCGAACCAUGUAAAUUCUUGGUGUUAUUUAUCUUGGUUAUUUGUUUUUCGAUUUCCGGAGUUUGUUCUUGUUUUUCCCAUUCUUAAACGCGAUAUUCUCAACAAGUGGUAUCAGAGCCUGGUUCGGCUGAUAUCCGUUUAGAAUGGAGGGUUCAAUUAUGAUGAAACUCACCCACUCCAACUGGGUUACGUGGAAAUCAAGAAUGGAGGACAUGCUUUAUUGUAAAGAUAGCCAUGAGCCAAUUGAAGGUGUUAAGAGCAAGCCAGAAAAUAUGUCUGAUGCCAAUUGGACCAAGAUGAAUCGUAAAACUAUUGGUACGAUUAGACAAUGGGUGGACGAGAGCAUCUAUCACCAUGUGUCUAAAGAAACUGAUGCGCAAGCUCUUUGGAAGAAGUUAGAAUCCCUCUUUGAGAAGAAGACCGCUGCCAAGAAAGCAUUCCUUAUCAAAAAGCUUGUCAACAUGAAGUAUGCGGAAGAUGUUAGUGUAACCGAGCACUUGAACAACUUUCAGAACGUGAUCAAUCAGGUAGUCACUAUGGGUUUGAAUAUUGAAGAAGAACUGCUAGCACUUUUAUUGCUAGGAUCCUUGCCAGAUAGUUGGGAAACCUUCGUCGUAACUGUAAGCAAUUCGGUUUCUAAUGGUGUACUGUCUAUGGAUGCCGUUAAGGAUAUCAUGUUUAAUGAAGAAACAAGGAGAAAAGCUUCAGGGGCAAGCGCUGGACAACUCUUUGUCAGUGAGAAAAGAGGCAAAAAUUCUGGUGAGACGAGAUUCAAUGGCGACUGCCACUAUUGUGGGAAAAAGGGUCACAUGAAGAAGCAUUGUCGUAAACGGAAAAAGGAACAAAAGGAUGGGAACAAUAUUGCAAGUGUUGUGACUUACGAUGAAGAGCUUCUUUAAUGUAGAUGAUUGAUGGUUUUAUGGCAAAGAAGUCUAUAAUUGCCUUUGCCAAUGACGAUGGGUGUUGCGAUCAGGGGGAGCCUGGUCAAGAGAAAUCUAAUCAGGAGGGUCUUGGUUAAUGAGUAGUUCAAUCAAGGGGAGCUUGGUUAUGGGUAAUUCGAUCAGGGGGAGUCUGGUCAUGAAAAGUUCGAUCAAUGGGAGUUUGGUCAAGAAGAGCAAUCCUAUUAUGGUAUACCUUCCUCAUGGUCUGGAGGGGGAGAUUGUUGGGUUUUUUCCAACCCAUGAUUAGUUGUCCUAAGUCUAUUGGGAAUUAAUAGUCUUAGAGGAUUAAAUUGUUUUCCCAAUCGGAGUUGUUUUCCCAAUUGGAGUUAGUUUCUCAAUUGGAAUAGGAUUCAUAACUAGAUUCCAAUUAGGAUUAAUAAUCCUUAUUGAAGAAGACCUUUAUUAUGUCUAUAUAAAGGGGCUAUUGUACUAGUUUUAAGGAGGGAGCAAAACAAUAAAUUGUAUACCACUCAAGGGAUUAGAGUGAGAGAAUAUUGUAAAGUGUGUGCGAGAGAAAAGAAAAGAGAUAGUGUAUUUCUUGUUCUUGUUCUUUCAGGUUUUUCGUCAAGUCCUAGUUCUAGAGAUUUGGCAAGAUUAUUGGUUGUACUCAUUAUUGAUAUAGUGAAAGAUUGUUGUUGUUGUCCCGUGGACGUAAGCACAUAUUGCUGAACCACGUAAAUUCUUGGUGUUAUUUAUCUUGGUUAUUUGUUUUUCGAUUUCCGGAGUUUGUUCUUGUUUUUCCCAUUCUUAAACGCGAUAUUCUCAACAGCAGGUUGAUUCCCCAUGUCCCAAGGGUUCGAGGUUUAGAUUUUUUAGGGUUGAUUUGGUCAGAAUUGAGAGGAAUGGUGGGGGUUCCUUCUCGGAGCUUAGAGAGAAAGAGUGUGUGUGUGUCGAGAGUUAGAGUUAGGUUUCAGAAAAAUGAAGGAGAGGAGUGGAGGUCGGAUGUGGGUAUAAGAAAAUUUUCAUUAUUGUUGAUUAAAACUUACAGAAUUUUUUUUUAAAAUAUAAACUGACAGCAAAUUUUCAUUCCUGUCGGUUAUAACCAACAGAACAAAAAAUGGCGGAAAAAUUCACCCCCAAAAUUCCCUCCCAAAAUUUUGUUACGAUUUUAAAAAAUAAAAUAAUAAUUGUUUGGUUUAAUAAAUAAAUAAAUAUAUAUGUAUUUAAGUAGAAUACGUUUUUAAAAAUUAAAUAAAUAAAAAAAAUUUGGUCGAAAAUAAAUAAUUGUUUGGUUUAAAAGAUAAUAACCUAUGUAAAAUAUGCAAUAAAGAAACAAAAAGAUAAUUGUAUAAUGAAAAUGUCAUCACAAUAAAAUAUUGUCUAAUCAAUACUUGAAAAACAUAAAUAAGAAUGCAAUGAACGAAUUCGAUCUUCAAUUUAAAAUAUUUACACUAGUGGAUACCAAAAACUCUUAUUUUAUACUUAAUGGAAGUAUAAUAUUAACUCUAAGUGUUUGUUUAAUCUACCAUUUUGACGUGAUAUGUCUUCUACGAAACUUUUUUCAACGAUCCAACCGUCAAACUUAUUUGUACACACUCCGAGAUUGUAUAUGUAAAAAAUCGUAAAAAACAAACAUUCAGAGAUUACGUAACGGAACAAAAGUUUUCGACGGUUAUAAAUGAAAAAUCAUAAUUUAACAGUUUAUUUUAGCUCCUGUUUUGAUGAUUUUUUUACAGCUACACUCCUCGACCCUAUAAGAAUGCAAUGAACGAAUUCGAUCUUCAAUUUAAAAUAUUUACACUAGUUGAUACCACAAAAUCUUAUUUUAUACUUAAUGGAAGUAUAAUAUUAACUCUAAAUGUUUGUUUAAUCUACCGUUUUGACACGAUAUGCAUUCUACGAAACUUUUUUCAAUGAUCCAACUGUCAAACUUAUUUGUACACACUCCGAGAUUGCAUACGUAAAAAAUCGUAAAAAACAAACAUUCAAAGAUUACAUAAUGGAACAAAAGUUUUCGACGGUUAUAAACGAAAAAUCACAAUUUAACAGUUUAUUUUAGCUCCGAUUUUAAUGAUUUUUUACAGCUACACUCCUUGACCCUAUAAGAAUGCAAUGAAUAAAUUUGAUCUUCAAUUUAAAAUAUGUAUACUAGUGGAUACCACAAAAUCUUAUUUUAUACUUAAUGGAAAUAUAACAUUAACUCUUAAGUGUUUAUUUAAUCUACCGUUUUGACGCGAUACACAUUCUACGAAACUUUUUUCAAUGAUCUAACAGUCAAACUUGUUUGUACACACUUUGAGAUCGCAUACCUAAAAAAUCACAAAAAAUAAACAUUCAGAGGUUAGGUAACAGAACAAAAGUUUUCGACGGUUAUAAAUGAAAAAUCAUAAUUUAACGGUUAUUUUAGCUCUGAUUUUGAUGAUUUUUUACAGCUACACUUCUCGAUCCUAUAAGAAUGCAAUGAAUGAAUUUGAUAUUCAAUUUAAAAUAUUUACACUAGUAGAUAUCACAAAAUCUUAUUUUAUACUUAAUGGAAGUAUAAUAUUAAUUCUAAGUGUUUGUUUAAUCUACUGUUUUGACGCGAUAUGCAUUCUACGAAACUUUUUUCAAUGAUCCACAAAAUCUUAUUUUAUACUUAAUGGAAGUAUAACAUUAACUCUUAAGUGUUUAUUUAAUCUACCGUUUUGAUGCGAUACACAUUCUACGAAACUUUUUUCAAUGAUCUAACUGUCAAACUUGUUUGUACACACUCCGAGAUCGCAUACGUAAAAAAUCACAAAAAACAAACAUUCAGAGAUUAGGUAACAAAACAAAAGUUUUCGAUGGUUAUAAACGAAAAAUCAUAAUUUAUCGGUUAUUUUAGCUCCGAUUUUGAUGAUUUUUUACAGCUACACUCCUCGACCCUAUAAUAAUGCAAUGAACGAAUUUGAUCUUCAAUUUAAAAUAUUUACACUAGUGGAUACCACAAAAUCUUAUUUUAUACUUAAUGGAAGUAUAAUAUUAAUUCUAAGUGUUUGCUUAAUCUACCGUUUUGACGCGAUAUGCAUUCUACGAAACUUUUUUCAACGAUCCACAAAAUCUUAUUUUAUACUUAAUGGAAGUAUAACAUUAACUCAUAAGUGUUUAUUUAAUCUACCAUUUUGACGCGAUACACAUUCUACGAAACUUUUUUCAAUGAUCUAACUGUCAAACUUGUUUGUACACAAUCCGAGAUCGCAUACCUAAAAAAUCCCGAAAAACAAACAUUCAGAGAUUAGGUAACAUAACAAAAGUUUUCGACGGUUAUAAACGAAAAAUCACAAUUUAUCGGUUAUUUUAGCUCCGAUUUUGAUGAUUUUUUACAGCUACCCUCCUUGAUCCUAUAAGAAUGCAUUGAAUGAAUUCAAUCUUCAAUUUAAUAUAUUUACACUAGUGGAUAAUUUUUUAUACUUAAUGGAAGUAUGACAUUAACUCUUAAGUGUUUGUUAAAUCUGUUAAUUUGAUAAGAUAUGCAUUCUACGAAACUAGUUUUAGCGAUCCAAUCGUCAAAUAUGUUUGUAUAUACUCAGAGACAACAUGUAUAAAAAAUCGCAAAAAAAAAUAAAAAUAAGAGAUUAGGUAACGGAACCGUGAGUGAAAAAAAUAUUUAAGCCAUUUGUUUAUUUAUUUAUAAUCAAUAUAAGACUUUAAAAUAAUAAAAUAGUCAAUUUCUGUCGGUUAUAACCGCCAGAAUACUAAAAUAAUAAAAUAGUCAAUUUAUGUCAGUUAUAACCGCCACCAUUAACUUAGACCGCCAUAAUAUGUUAAAAAUAUUAAAAAGAAAAGAAUUCAAAAAUACUGAGGGUUAUAAUAAUUUUAUGGCGGUUAAAUCCACCAAGAAUUUUUGUCGGAUAUAUCUGACAGAAAUUAACUUUUAUCCGACACUAAAUAAAUUAUAUGUCGGAUAUCUUUUAUCCGUCAGAAUGACUUAAUAACCACCACCAUCGUCCGACAUCUAAAGCUAAUAUUGUAGUAGUGUAUCCUAAGAAAUACUGAAAUUUCAUUAUGACAAUUAAAUGAGUAAAUAGUUUCAGAUUGAACUGAAUUUAUGCAUAAAUAAUCUAUGAAUCAAAACUUACAAAAUAAACGUUCGGAUAGUUGAAAUUUGAUAUGAAAUGGCUUGCACAACUAAGCACAGCAAAAGAGACUGGCGCUUAACCAUUAUACUGUGAAGCAUGGACGUCAUUAGUUGCGUUAUAUAUAAGUAAUUUAAAAACCAAAUGAUUCAUGAAGAAUUAGGAACUCCUAAUCUCAAAGGAACAAGGAAAAUAUAAUUAAAAUAUUUAUAAAUAAUACAAUUAGGGCAGUGACUAAAUGGGAGCCGUAGUGACUGGGGUGGUUAACAUCACAUGCCUCUAAGCAAAGAGGUCACGGUGAGUCAUCAAUCUUCCCAACGGCUUGCACACCGACAUGUGAGUAUAUGACUUAGAUCAAUAUUUGAAGAAAUUGGCUUCUUCUUCUUUAAGUCGUCAUUUUAAUUUAUCUGUUAAUUACAGUUUGACACGUGAGUAAAAAGUUGUUACUAAUAUGUGUUUGGACCCGAUUUUACACAUCGGCCUAAGCAAUCGAGGCCGUUGAGUAAGCAUGGUUCUCAACCGUUGGAUAAGAAAGUUUAGAUAUUAUUGUUAAGAGAUAAUAUUAUGAUUUUUAGUCAUAAUAAUUAUUUUUUUAAUAAGCUAUCUCGGUUUUUUAUGCAAAAUAAAUGGGAUGGAGGCAAGUAGAGUUGUGAUGGGGACGUGAGCUUUGAAUCAGGUUGGUUUGUUUUUCUGGACAUGCAUGCAUGGGAUUUAAAGAUAAUGAAGUGAUAGGGGAUAAAUCCAAACAUGCCAAAACGUGUAAUUUGCAAAAGAAUUGUGCAAUAUGGAGAUUCUAUCCUAAUGCAUGGUUUUUUGGGAUUGGUUUUGUGCACGUGGCAUGCUACAAUGGAGAUGAUGGUUUUGCAUGGUGAUGGCAAUAUGGGUUUAAAGGUUUCUCAUGUUUUUUAAUAAGAAGCCUAGGUGGGUUAGAUCUCUAGUGAGAUGUGAUAAAGCCUAGGUAGGCUUUAUUUAUCUGAAGGAUAUGUGCGGCGUAUUUGAUACGGGAUCAGGGUUUAUCUGAAGGAUAUGCGCGUCAUAUUUGAUACAGGAUCAAGGUCAAUUCCACAAAAUAGAGUUGCACUUGGACUCUACAAAAUUAUCAGGCCAUGCCAAGCAAGUACAUCAGCCUAUAAAUACAAAGGCAGUGCAUCAUUCGAGAGACCCCCUGCAAAUCAAUACAAAAUUGCCCUGCGCAAACUCUCACAACUUGUGAUUUUUCUUUUCCUUUUUUCGCUGACACAUCUUCCGUUGGCAUCAACAGCACUGUGGAAGCAACCGGUGAUAUCUUAAGUCGGCAUAUAUAGCUCUGUCACCGUAGAGUCAGUCGGUCUCGCAGUAUCUUCCGUUGGCAUCAACAGCACUGCGGCGAGAACGAUUGAUUACCUAUCCAAGUCUCGGUCGAAAAGGGUUUCUAAAUCCUUAUUGGUCGAGGUCAUCUCAUCAGCCUUCUCGGCGAAGUGAGGUGUUACAGUUAUUACAUUCGGCACAUUGAAAGCCGAAUUUGAUAUCGAACUUCGUAAGAAUAGUAACCUUGUCUUCAGGUUCGAGAGCCCAAGAGGCCGAGACGUGUUCCUUUCUCGGCCGCAAUCGCAAGACGCAGAAGUCAGUAGCGCGACCCCCUGCAAAUCAAUACAAAAUUGCCCUGCGCAAACUCUCACAACUUGUGAUUUUUCUUUUCAUUUUUUCGCUGACACAUCUUCCGUUGGCAUCAACAGCACUGUGGAAGCAACCGGUGAUAUCUUAAGUCGGCAUAGAUAGCUCUGUCACCGUAGAGUCAGUCGGUCUCGCAGUAUCUUCCGUUGGCAUCAACAGCACUGCGGCGAGAACGAUUGAUUACCUAUCUAAGUCUCGGUCGAAAAGGGUUUCUAAAUCCUUAUUGGUCGAGGUCAUCUCAUCAGCCUUCUCGGCGAAGUGAGGUAUUACAGUUAUUACAUUCGGCACAUUGAAAGCCGAAUUUGAUAUCGAACUUCGUAAGAAUAGUAACCUUGUCUUCAGGUUCGAGAGCCCAAGAGGCCGAGACGUGUUCCUUUCUUGGCCGCAAUCGCAAGACGCAGAAGUCAGUAGCGCGACCCAACGCAACAUCAAUAAAUUUACUCCUCGGCCGAGCUCGGCCGACGAGUUGGCACGCCCCGCAUUCACCGAAGAACGUAGUUAGCUCAUUAAUUACUCGGCCUGCGCGCCACGUAGGCUUUGUAGUUUCUAGGGUCAACAAUAUGUCAUCAGAAUAAAUUGCACGCCCAUAAGUUAUGUACUUUAAUGAGUUACUAUGGUCUCAAAAAUUCAGACAAUCCAAUGUUCGUAACAUUCAAUGAUACGUAGCAUGGAAGUUGAACCUGAAAAAUAGAUCAAUUGUUUCUUCUUCUUUUUUUCCCAUAAAAAGGAACCAGUUAGUGGUUUCGUCACGUCAAUCUACCAUUACAGGAACAGGGAAGACUCACAAAGGCAUUUCAACCUCUUCCUAACUACCAUCUUAUAAUUCACCAGCGCCUUAAAUCGAACCCAGAUUGAUCAAAGAUUUGGCUAUUGAUUUUUAGGAAAACUAAUGAAAAGAGGUUGAAAACUUUGAGUUUUAGUGAUAAGGACAAAAUAAAGAGUAAAGUGAAUAGUACCAGAUUUGACUUUUUAGUGUAAAAAUAUGGUUUUACGUUAAAGUAAACUGUAACGCAGACUUUUCGUUAAAACUCUCUUGAUUUUUCAGUAUCAGUUUCUAGAAAUCAUGGAAUCCAUAUAGUUGUUGGUCUAAGAACAUGCAUUUUUUUGGUUUUUUUUUAUUGUUUGGGGGCCGGGAUGCACUGAACUGUCCGAGUGGGUGGGUGGGUAAUAAUAAUAUGCAGUCAAUCCCAGAUUGAUCAAAGAUUUGGCUAUUGAUUUUUCAGUAUCAGUUUCUAGAAAUAAGGGAAUCCAUAUAGUUGUUGGGUCUAAGACCAUGCAUUUUUUUGGUUUUUUUAUUUUUUAUUUUUUUUUGGGGGGGGGGGGGGGGGGGGGGGGGUGGGGGGGGGGAAUGCACUGAACUGUCCGAGUGGGUGGGUGGGGUAAUAUGCAGUCGAUCCAAUGAUCAUUUUCUCUUGUUUUCUCCUAGCACCCCACACGAAUGUUUGAACAUUUUGUGCAUCUUCCAGAACAUUAGGAGAAUAAACACCACCUACAAAACCCCUUGUUUUCCAAUGCCACUUGGUCACCUUCUGCCCUUGUUUUCCAAAAGUAAUUUCCGUACAUGUUUUUUCUCAUCUUGCAUACUCGGUAUUUAAAUUGAUUAAUCAUAAAGCUUUGAUACUUAACACCAAUGUUCUAAACGACGCUAUGUGUUAGCUGGGCGGUGGGUUAGGGUCUAGAGCCUAGGUGGCUAGAUAGAGCUUAGGUGGGGGACUAUGUGAAUUUAAGUAAAUUUAUUGUAUAUCGUAUAAAUAAGUAUCUGUUUAUAUUUAAAAAAUAUAUAACUUUAUUGGGAUAUAUAAACUGAAAAAUAGAAGGACAUGUAGAUUAUGAAAUAUUACAACAUGAAAGUUAUCUAUUUUUUGUCUAAGUGAAAGUCGCAAUCUAAGCUGGUGUCUAGGCGGGCGUCUAAACGGAUCUAAGCGUUCUUUUUUAAUUUUCAAACGCUUAAAAAUUAAUCAAGACGGUAGUUAACCGUCUAGCACCUAAGUAAAACUUAGACGGCGUUCGGUAAAGAUUUUUAAAACAAGGCCUGAUGCAAUCCCCCUCCUCAUUUGCGUCUAUAUCAGUGAAACCCAGGCCAGCUGUUUUCAUUCCUCCAAAUCAUAAAUUUCGACGGAAAAAAUGGAAUCAAAAUCCGUAUCUUUGAUUAGGUCAAAGUCUUCCACAAGAAAAUAUAAUAAUUUCAUUCAACGAAGGCGUUCGUCCACGCUUCAGAUUCGAGGAAACUUCAUUGCCUUUCUUUCCUUGCCUUCCACGUAUGUCACGUUCCCGCUAACGGACAAAGGGGAAUUGAAUUUCUUGCAACCUAAAACAUUUUUUUUUUUUUUUGAGAACUGCAACCUAAAACUUUGGUAAAUUAUAUUUUAACUUACAAGCAUGCGGUUUCCCAACAUCACCACCAGUGACAAUUGACUGCUGGAAUACCCCUUCAAUGAAAUCACGACAUCUGUUCUAUUAAUAAAUCUAGAAGGUUUAUCUUUUAAAAAAUUAAUUAAUUAAAAACUAAAACUGAAAGAUUCAAAUACAAAAUAUGCAGGCCAUACAACCCCUCUCCGGCGAGACACGCCAACCCCAAUCUCGUCCAAAUCUGGUACCACUCCACCUCCCUCUCUUCCUCUUCCUCAUAGACGAAGAACAACAGGCAGAGAGUGGCGGAUGGAGUUUCUCCAAUCGAUAACCCGCCGACGCUAUAUGCCCCCGCUGGAACCCAUGUGGACCAUCUUCCUCGUCGUCAUCUUCAUCAGCCUGAUGUUCGAGUUUUUCUUUGACGAGAAAACUUUGCUCCUUGCUGGGUUUUUUUGUGAUGGGUAUGAAACUGCGAGGCCGACGAGCACAGGAGCCGACUCACUGAGUUAAUGGUGGCGCGAGUUAGCGAUUAUAGUGGGGGUUGAGAGAUUCGAUGACUCAAUUUUUUCCAAGAAUAUAUGGCCAAAUUUGCGUUCUUCUUUUCCCGUAUUUGAGAAAGAAGGAUGAAAUAGAAAUUGCGAGGAGGACGGAUCGGACGCCGGGUGGGGGGAGCUGUGGGUUGUUGGCGCGACUGUCGAAUUGUUUUGUUUUAGUUUUUAUUUUAAUUGAAUUUCUUAAAAAAAAUUAAAUCAGAUAGAUUCUUUAUUGGGGCACGUGGCAUCUCCGAUUAGAUGUGUACACAUAUAUUAAAGUCAACUGGUUGGGAUUCUGAUCUUCAUCUCAUAUCCCUAUGUAAAACUAAAACCUAAUUCAAAAACGAAAACGAAAAUACUCGGUUCCUUUAUAUGUAUGUAAGAAGUCACACUUUUUUAUAAAUAAAUUACAAUUUGAUAUGCGAGCAUAAAUUUCUUUUUUUACGGUUUUAAUAAGUAAAAUAUUAUCAUUAGAGGCUUAAAAUAUUAUUAAUUUACGUGUCAAACUGCAAUUGUAUGUAUCGAGAAAAAGUGACGGAAGUAAGCAAGUGCAAAUAAAAAACUGUGAAUAUGAGUUAACAGCUAAGUGAUAGGUACAACCCCACAAGAAUUGGUGGGUUUUUUACACUUUCCCCAUUGACCAUAAAUUUUUAAAGUCCUCCCCCACUAAAACUCCAAACCAUUUGUGACCCUGCAAUGAUUCUGGAAAAUCCCCCAAUUUCUAACGUCUAUUUAGAUUCAAUUUCAUAUCCCAUACAAAGG
rnacentral:lncRNA from 1 species